rnacentral:SRP_RNA from 1 species
GCUGAGCUCAGUAGCGAGAGCUUGUAACCCGAGUGGGAGCUUUGAGGUGGUGUGGACUUUGCCGUACAGUUGUGAACCUGGGCAGGGAAUUGCUACUGCUGGCCCGCCCGUUCCAAGUUGCGUAGUGGAUCUGCUGGGGCCUAUGCGAAAGCUGGGCCUCACGGAGCCUAGAGCGGCAGGCACCGCGUGAGGCUGGUUUCACAGAGCAGCGACCACUGCCCGCUUCCAACGGUGGAAGGAUAACGGGCCGCUGCAUUCCUGGCCCGCUUGGGUCUCAUAGCCUACUCCAAAGAACCACCACUACU